AAAAUGAGCUUAUGGUCUAAUUUGACAAAUUGUCUUUUACUAUUUUUUCUGUGUAAUUUUUUGUUCAUGCUACUUCUAUCAGCUACAUGAAUAUAGAAUGGAUCCUUAUCCAUUUGUCUUAACAAUACUGAGAUUGAGGAAAGUGAACUCUCUGAUGCAAGCUCAACAAAUUUGAAAGAAGAUGGAUCUUCACCAUCCCUAACUCUGAUCAGAAAGCAAGGAUGGUAUUCAGAUAAACUUUCAUAUUUAAAAGGAAAAGUGCCUUCCUCGAUAGGAAUUCCAACAUCAGUUGCCCUGCCCUUUGGAGUUUUUGAGAAGGUUUUGUUAGAUGAUUCAAACCAGAAAUGACAUAGGUGAUUAUCAAGCAAAUGCUAGAUGUGUAUGCCUAGAUGAGGGCUUCACUUGGUGAGGCAUGCAUUUCGUUCUCAUGUUUUGAUUUUUGAAGCUUUUUUUCUUUUUAUUGUUUAAAUUGUGUAAAAGAGAGCUGAUUGAUGUGGUAUGUUUUUGUUGUAUUUUUUAAUGAGAUUUUAUGGAUUUUUUUUUUUUAAUUGUUUCUUUGAGUGUGGCA